rnacentral:rRNA from 1 species
UUUUUUAUAAGGAUAACUACGGAAAAGCUGUAGCUAAUACUUGCUUUAGCACUCUUGAUUAAGUUCUUGAGUGUGUACUUGUUAAGCCUUUUAAGAAAAAAGUUAUUAACUUAAGGAAUUAUAACAAAGAAGCAACACGUAAAUGGAUUUUCCAUUUUUUAGUGUGUAUCAAUCGAGUUUCUGACCUAUCAGCUUUUGAUGUUAGGGUAUUGGCCUAACAUGGCUAUGACGGGUAACGGGGAAUUAGAGUUCGAUUCCGGAGAGGGAGCCUGAGAAAUAGCUACCACAUCUAAGGAAGGCAGCAGGCGCGUAAAUUACCCAAUUCUAAAGAAGAGAGGUAGUGACAAGAAAUAACAAUACAAGGCCAAUCUGGCUUUGUAAUUGGAAUGAUGGGAAUUUAAAACCUUCCCAAAACUCAAUUGGAGGGCAAGUCUGGUGCCAGCAGCCGCGGUAAUUCCAGCUCCAAUAGCGUAUAUUAAAAUUGUUGCAGUUAAAACGCUCGUAGUUGAAUUUCAAAGAAUCGAUAUUUUAAGUAACGCUUUGUAGAUUAAUCCACAUAACUGAUACUACGUAUCGACUUUGUGCGCAUUUUUCUACUUAUGUGUUCUUUUAAUUAAAAUGAUUCUUUUUAAGAUCUUUCUUUUUUGCUUCGGCAUUUUAGGAGAUCUUGUUACUUUGAGUAAAUUAGAGUGUUCAAAGCAAACAGAUUAUAGCAUCUUUAUGCGUUUGAAUACUACAGCAUGGAAUAACAAAAUUGAACAAGUCAGAAUUUUGUUCUUUUUUCUUAUUUUGGCUUAGUUACGAUUAAUAGGAGUAGCUUGGGGGCAUUUGUAUUCAGAUGUCAGAGGUGAAAUUCUUAGAUUUUCUGGAGACAAACAACUGCGAAAGCAUUUGCCUAAAAUACUUCCAUUAAUCAAGAACGAAAGUUAAGGGAGUGAAGACGAUCAGAUACCGUCGUAAUCUUAACCAUAAACUAUGCCGACUAG